rnacentral:rRNA from 1 species
GAUGAACGCUGGCGGCGUGCCUAAUACAUGCAAGUCGAGCGAACAGAUGAGGAGCUUGCUCCUGACGUUAGCGGCGGACGGGUGAGUAACACGUGGAUAACCUACCUAUAAGACUGGGAUAACUACGGGAAACCGGAGCUAAUACCGGAUAAUAUAUUGAACCGCAUGGUUCAAUAGUGAAAGACGGUUUUGCUGUCACUUAUAGAUGGAUCCGCGCCGCAUUAGCUAGUUGGUAAGGUAACGGCUUACCAAGGCAACGAUGCGUAGCCGACCUGAGAGGGUGAUCGGCCACACUGGAACUGAGACACGGUCCAGACUCCUACGGGAGGCAGCAGUAGGGAAUCUUCCGCAAUGGGCGAAAGCCUGACGGAGCAACGCCGCGUGAGUGAUGAAGGUCUUCGGAUCGUAAAACUCUGUUAUUAGGGAAGAACAAAUGUGUAAGUAACUAUGCACGUCUUGACGGUACCCAAUCAGAAAGCCACGGCUAACUACGUG